UGUUUGAGAUGGUUAUGAAUUGUCAGUUUUUGGAAUGUCUAAGAUAACAUUUUGAAGUCUGACAUUUCGUAAAGACAAACCACUACAUCAUUGAAUAGGCCAGUAGAUAUUAUUUUCUUGACUGGGGUUACUUUUCGCUUGCUAUAUGUAACCAAACAGUCCGUUGUAUCAAAGGGAUGAAUUCUAAACGAUUCAAUCCUUAGCUUCAUUUGAACGGAAGGCAGUGCAUUGAACUAUGAGGAAACGUCUCAAUAGUGGCAAAUGAGGCACGCUCAACGCUCGCAGUUUUAAGAAAAUUUCUUUAAAGAAGCUUUAAUUCAACGUCUUUGGAAAAUGCACCAGGAUUUACUUUUAAUGAGUUUCGAGAGUGCAACUUGGGGUUUACUUUGUAAAUGAAUGGAGAAGUUGGCUGCGCGGGCUACAUCGAAAAUCUUUAUUUAUUAAUUUCAUCGAAUCGACUUGCAAAGAAAUGCCGAGUUAUAAACAAGAUGUUCGAGUUAAUAAGGAGAUUGCUGUUGAGAAGUUUUCCCAGAAAGCACUAGAGGUUUCAAAGUAAACCAGCAUUUUAUUAUAAUUUGAAAGGGCAUUGAUUGUGAAUGCGCAUCGAGUGCUAUAGUCGUUUGCUUUGGACGUAGACAAUGCUAUUAUAGAAUAAACGAACGUACUGAAAUAAAAUAAAAUGUGUGGUGUUGUUUGAAGUGUAAUAAAAUGCGGGCCUAGUAUUAGGCAGGAGAAGACUUGAAACAUUUCUUUUAACUAUAUUGCGAGACGAGAAACUCAUGGACGUCGAGAUAAGAUAUACAAUAAGAGCGUUAUGAAGCAAUUAUGUCUAUUAGAAAAUGGUGAGCUCUUUUAACAGAAUGGAGGAUUUUGUACCGUUAUCUUGGAUGUAUUUAACUGUCAGCGCCACUCGAGACAGCCUGUCAGAUCAUAUCUGAAGCGUCGUGCUUCGCGAAUAUGACGACUUUUUGCAAAAAAAUCCUAAAAGAUGUCUGAAGAGCCCAGCGCCGAGGCGAGACCGCCGAAAAAAAUUCAUAACGACUCUUUAACGCCAUCAUGUUAAUGACGAAUCAAACUAUCUCCAUACGAAAAUCAUCGAAAUUAGCGCCGUCGUUCAACGUACAUACAAGCAGACAGACUAAAAGACAGAGUUACUUUCGCAUUUAUAAUACACAUAUAGAUUUAUCAAAGGAGAUAACCACAAUCUAAAAAUAUAUAAAUACAAAGAAUUUAGUUUAGAGGCUACAUAGAAUUUACGUGAUUUUUCACAUAACUGGUGACUUUCGCGUUGCUUGGUCAUAAGAGAUCACUUUUUGAUUGCGUAAAUAAG